GGGCAAGUGGCGAAAUGGCAGACGCGCACGUUUCAGGUACGUGUGGAGUUAAAUCCUUGGAGGUUCGAGUCCUCUCUUGCCCA
rnacentral:tRNA from 1 species